rnacentral:lncRNA from 1 species
UGCUCACAGAAACAUGUACUGUGUCGACUCAAGGUUUAAUGGAUUCAGGGCUUUCCAUCUGCUGAGAUAGGAGAAAACUGCCUUAGGGCUGGAGGUGGGACAUGCUGGUUCCUGCUGACCCUCUCCCCACUAUUACCCUAUUGUCCUGCCACAUCCCCCUCUCUGAGAUGGUAGAGAUAAUGAUCAAUAAAUAUCUUUUCUCAGUCUCUUGUCCCAGCUGAUGAGAAACACCCACAGGUGUGGAGGGGCAGGCCACCCCACCCCCCGAGGUAGUCCUGGGCUGAGCCCCAUGGGACCUAGAGAACCAGGGUGUACCCCACCAGCAUGUCGGGUGGCUACCCCUGUAAUCCUAGC